rnacentral:lncRNA from 1 species
UUCCGCUGCAGCCAGCUGCCUGCAAUUUGGCAGAUUGAAUCCCACCAGGCUCAUCCUUCCGAGGGAAGCCUUGGCACGGGUUCCAACUUUUUCUUCACUCUUCCCCCGCUGCCAAGCGGCGUCAACACAAAAUUGCCAUUUUCCCCAGCUCUCUAUGGAGCAAUCUUGAAAAGCAGUAAGGUGUGACGCCGAAGGACUGCCAACUCGGCAGCAGUGCCUGCGGAAAAACCGCAGAAUGGAAGCAGAGAAAUAGGAUGGUGCUAUUCGUCAAACUCCUCCUUUUCAGGAAAGAACAGAAAGAAGUUCAUGCAAAUCAUCAUCCAUUUUAGAUUUGAAGUCUGCCAAUUUGGAAGAAGAAACAUCAACUCAACUUGACUCCUCCAUUACACUGGCAUCUGCAUGUGAACAUUUUGGUAUCUAUUUUUAUAACAAGGCAAACCAAAAAAUCAAUUUUUUUGAAAAUAGAAACACUUAUUAUAGAAAGAUUGAACGCUAAUUGCUGAGAACAACAGUUUAUUUUUGAGCAAACUCUAAUCUUGACAUCUUGUCUUUUUAACUCUUGAUUGUACUUUGGAUUGUUCCCUUGAAUUUGUA